rnacentral:rRNA from 1 species
AUUGAACGCUGGCGGAAUGCUUUACACAUGCAAGUCGAACGGCAGCACGGGGGCAACCCUGGUGGCGAGUGGCGAACGGGUGAGUAAUACAUCGGAACGUGCCCAGUCGUGGGGGAUAACGUAGCGAAAGUUACGCUAAUACCGCAUACGAUCUACGGAUGAAAGCGGGGGACCGUAAGGCCUCGCGCGAUUGGAGCGGCCGAUGUCAGAUUAGGUAGUUGGGGAGGUAAAGGCUCACCAAGCCGACGAUCUGUAGCUGGUCUGAGAGGACGACCAGCCACACUGGGACUGAGCCACGGCCCAGACUCCUACGGGAGGCAGCAGUGGGGAAUUUUGGACAAUGGGCGCAAGCCUGAUCCAGCCAUUCCGCGUGCAGGACGAAGGCCUUCGGGUUGUAAACUGCUUUUGUACGGAACGAAAAGGCUCUGGUUAAUACCUGGGGCUCAUGACGGUACCGUAAGAAUAAGCACCGGCUAACUACGUGCCAGCCGCCGCGGUAA